rfam:Triticum aestivum genome assembly, contig: Triticum_aestivum_CS42_TGACv1_scaffold_031260_1BL
CAACUACUCCCUCUGUCCCAAAUUUCUUGUCUUAGAUUUGUCUAGAUAUGGAUGUAUCUGUGACUUGAUACAUCCAUAUCUAGACAAAUCUAAGACAAGAUUUUGGGACGGAGUUAGUACUUU